UUUAGUAAAACAAUUGAAAGGUCUUUCCUGUAAAAGUGAUGUUUUCGUAAUGUUCUUUGUACGACCUUUCGUUUGAUAUACGACAAGCAUACCUUCUGAAACUUUUCGCUUUUACACUUAAUGACCUCAUCCGCCUACAUUUUUGAGAUCGGAAGUAUGAUAUAUGUAAAACAGGGUAGAUGAGCUUUCAUUUGAUAUGCGACAACGCC
rnacentral:lncRNA from 1 species